rnacentral:rRNA from 1 species
UAGCUAAUCUGCCCUACACUAGAGGACAACAGUUGGAAACGGCUGCUAAUACUCUAUACUCCUGUCUUACAUAAGUUAGAUAGGGAAAGUUUUUCGGUGUAGGAUGAGGCUAUAUUGUAUCAGCUAGUUGGUGAGGUAAUGGCUCACCAAGGCUAUGACGCAUAACUGGUCUGAGAGGAUGAUCAGUCACACUGGAACUGAGACACGGUCCAG